CUUCUUUUUGGUUCAAGUGUUCUAUUAUUGUAAACAUGUUUACAGUGCACUACGCAACGGGAAAGUGGCGCUCGCAUUUUCAUUUAUAAGUGAACAGAUGUUCUGCGCAGUCUUAUAAAUUAUAGACUGAACAACAGUAUUUUGUUCGUAAAGACAGUUACUAGUUGUGAUACUAUUGCCGAUACGAAUACUUGAAAAUAAGCGUGCAAAGUCCUGCAGACACCUUCUAAAUUUAUACCUGAUAUUUGCAGGCUUUCCCGAUACACGUGCGUAGAUAAAUCAAACCGACGAAGAAUAAACAAAUCGUUGUGCGUUGCUCUGCUGCGCUAUCGGUCAUUGCGGAGGAGUCAUUGCGACUUGGAAUUUUUGCAAGUAUUAUUAAAACUGAUUAUAAAACUUCCCAUUAUCUAUCGGAUUAUAUUACUCCGAAAAUAUAGAAUCCUCGCGAUUACUCGAGGAAAAACGAAGAAUUCUCAUGAAAUAUGCAGAAAAUUGAUAACACGUUCUCAUAGAUUUUCUUCGCUUAAGCAACUCUUCAUCGAGCGGAAGAGGCGAAUUAUGCUUUCACCCUUCUAAAGAAAGGAAAACCGAAGAUUUCACCUUAAAUUUAACAGUGCUCCAUUCCCACUUUGCAAAUUGAAAAGAAAUUAAUCGUAAGACUUCAUUUGAUAAAGUAACACUAAAUAGCUUAGACUAAAACUCUCUCUCCGUUUAAAAACAAAGGUUUACACUACUUCCAUAAUAGAAAACACGAGUUUAUCAGAUGAUCUCACGAGUAGUGCUUCUUUCAGACUAUUUUUGAAUUUCCUACAAAAUUAAUAGCACAAUUUCUUUCAUGUAAACGGUGCUUCAUUGACUGUUUACAGAGAGAGGACAAAGAACGCGAUGAAUGCGCUGAGUUGAUGCAUACACGCGGGCGUGCAUCUUGAAAUCGUGGAUUCGCAAAAUUGUACGAACCGCGUUUCGCCGGGGCUUUAUUUGGUUAUGAAUAAUCCCCAUUGGAAAAGAGGGAAAACCGUGCUUUUACCGUGAAAUUGAUGUUCAUAAAUAGCAAGGUGCGGAGUCGGUGUGACUGCAUCGGUGUAACGCGAAAGGGGGGGAAGUCGGUCGAUGCCGUGGAACCGUGGCACGCUGGAAUCACGUGCACAUCAGCAGGCAUCCGCGUGUUCGGCCGACCCGCUCCGCUCGACACGCUCUCGCUGCCCAUCGAUGAUAGAUCUAGAAGAGGACUUGCCGCAACUGUGGUUACAGUUACCGGUCAGAAAUAGAACUCGACCUGAAAAACAGAGUCAACUAAAAUCAACAAGGCGUUCAUCUAAUUCGCACGCAACGGACGAUUUGACGAAAUGGAAACUUUUCACGGGGCCAAAGGUGUCACUAUAUAGCACAUGAACAUGGUGCGAUAUAACGAUGACGCAGUCCUAGGAACACGUGCAUCGUAACGAACAACAGAUUUAUUAAGCCAUCUGAAAUGGAUGACGCCAACACUAACUAACAAUGUAAAUGUGGAAUCAUAAGCGAAUAUCGUGAAGGACGAAUCAAGGUUGGCUGCUCACCUUACGAAUUAACCCUUCCUGGAGCGUCGUUGAUGAUGUCCGGCCACGGAACCGGGACAACGGCGGCGUACACGCGUUACGAUGCCGAUCAAUCGGAAACUCUUGGGGAAAAAGCCUCGAGUUCGUGUUCGAUCGCGGAUGAUCGCACAGCAAGCUUUCGUGGUAUUCUGAUGGAUUUUAAUGUGGAGGGCAGGAUUCAUGCCCAGUGAGGGCGCUUCAAGGGGAACUGGCAUCGCGCCGACUCCGAAAAGUCUGCAAAUUCAACGUUGAACUUGCGACCCGUGGAAGGGAUGCCAUCGAUCGCACACCGAACGCGAACUCCAUGGCCCGUAAGUAUUGCAACAACCCCUCUGUCUCGUAUCGUUCUAUUUUAUUCUCGUACCAACAGCUGUUGCCUUUAAACGCCGGAAGUGUUCCAAUGAUCCGAGUACAGCCGAUUUAUCCUUUUUAUGGCCGGCAAUGGGAACAGAAUAUUCUUGUAGUUUUUUUCUUUCUAAAAUUUAAAUUCAAACGCAAAGUGUCGCACCACCCCGGUGUCGUUGAGCGUCCAAUUCACGCUUCCUUUCGUUUAAUUUAAUUCUUCUCGUGCCCGAUAAUUUGUAUUAAAAUGUUCGCAUAAUACAUUCGCGGUAGUUGGUAACAUUUGUGAUUCAUGCGAGAGAAAAUUGAAAUAUGCGCAAAAUAUGAAAAAGAUUACGAGUCUAAUGGAAAGUGGUAUUCCAUGGAAUUUGCAACUCUAAUAAUACAACUAAUUUAUUUCAACGAUCUGUAUAUUGCAAUAACGUUAAAUUCGAAACCUAUGUUUAUUGCAGACUUCUAGCGAACAUUUUAUUAAUGAAACAUCGAAGUGAUGUGAUAAAUGUUUAACGACGUGGCAGCUACAGCGCUAUCACCGCGUCCUUGUCUUUUUCUGCGAAUUUUUUAUUCUAUUCCUGCCUUUAUGUAGAAUAUGUCUUGCUUCUUAUGCUUUUACCAGUUCUCCAUGUGACUACUUUUAAUCGCUAAACGUGCUACCCUUGAAGUGUUUGCAUUUACAAACGAAAUCCUCGUGAACCCCAACACUCUUCACUUUCUCUUUUCAUUGGGUUAACACUUUCUCUGAGUUUUCCCAUGCGCUCUUGCUUUUGUUGUUUUUUCCCACUAGCUGUCUCGUUUUAUUCCACCUCAUUCUGGCCUUUUCUCUAUCUCUUCAGUUAUUUUAUCCGAAAAACAACUAGAUCUACCCAACUGUGCGCGAGUACGUGUUGUCCUCGUGGUUCUUAAAUUUUUAUUUUAUUUUUUUAUUAUAUCUCAAUGUGUUCUACCGGUUCUGUUUAACCCAAUAAGGCAAAGAUCCACUUUGCUUCGCUUCAAUAGGUUCCAACUCGUUUCAGUCUGUCCUAGACUGCUCGGAUUCAUUCAAGUCCGCUGUGGUCAGCUUCAAACUACUCAAAUCUGCUUCAUCUACUUCUCAAGUCGACUCUGUUUUGCUGUAAUACAACAAUAAAACCUCGAUGCUUAUAAAUGAAUCUCAGUUGUUUCAUUUGGGCAGCAUAUUAUAAGGAUAAGUGCUUAGAAAUAAACAAAAUAAAAAACGAGAGUAGAAAGAGAAGCGUGGAUAAUUAUCUUAUUGAAAUUGAUAUAAGAAAUGGAUGGUCUCGUGCAUUAUUGAUUAUCUAAUUAACUAACAAAAUUCAAUUGUUGAAAUGCUAGUUUGUUGAUUCAUUUUAAAUGUGCCAAGUAAUUGAAAAAAUCAUUCGUCGAGAUUCAUUUAGUUUACUUCAGUCGAAUUGUGUGAAGAACUUUGAACGUUCAAUUGCAUUUAACGUAGACUGGAUUAGUGGAACGUUACAUUGAAAGAAUUCAAAGUUCAACCCAAUAAUCAAUUAUAAAGAAGGUUUAAGAGCUUAAUAUAUAUUAAAUUGUAUGAGGGAAUAACAAUAAGUAGUUUUCUCUUUAGCUUAUUUUCAAUUAUCAUUAAAAAUGAAUAAAAUUGUAUUUAUUAAACAUUAAACAUGCAAAUAUUACAAUAACUCGUUUCUGACAACUCAGAUAGAUCCUCCGUUCGUAAUAUAUUAUUUCAUGAUGAAAUUUAACUGUUUACUUUCCAUUGAUAAAAGUUUCGUUUCAUACUUUUUAAUGCCGAUGAGAUAGUUCGAAGUUAAUAUAACUCUUACGUAGCGCUUACAACUCUGUAAAGAAUAUAAUCGUUUAACUUAAAUUAUUUAACAUCCAAAAUAGAUAUUAAUUACUAACUUUCUUGUAAUACGUACUAAUCAUUAUUUUUCACCUUCAAGUUGAUAGUGGUAGCGACGUAAUGCAGCUAAGCGUAAUCUUUCUGUUUCCAAAGCCUGCUCUAAUUCCAGUACGCGAACCUGCGCCUCCAUUUCUAAUCGCUUAGCUUGAUGCAGACUUAGCCCAGAAAUAUCUAAAUCAUCUAUAAAAUAUUGGAAAUAUUAAACAUUUUAGUCUUGUGUGUCUUUUGUAAGAAAAAGGAAGAAAAUAUCGAAGAAAGUAAAUUUAUUCGUGCAUUAUAUGUAUGUAAAGAAACAAUUACCAUUUUCUUCAACGAGUUGACUACAAUUUUUAGCAGUCGCCACUACGCUUCCUGUUGCUUGUGUCACAUCCCUCGAUGCUUCAGAAAGCGCAGCCAAGUUAUUGCUAUUCCUAUUUGCUUUCACUCUACUUGCAACUACUAACUGAGCUGUUGACGCGGCAAUGCCCUGCGACGCAACGACCAGUUGUUCAAAUUUACCAUUUCCAGCAACAACUUUGUCUGCUGCUUCCCUGUGUGCAUCAAUACAUUUUGUAGUUAAAAAAUAAUAUGUUACGAUAGAUCGUUUAUACUUACAGUAACAAAUUAGCACCCAUCGCAACUGCCUUCGCUGCUGAUAUAAGUCCUUCAGACCAUUGAUGAUUACGUUUAUAGAAUUCUGUAGCAGAUGCUGUACCCUAAUAUUAAAAAAAUUUCCAAUAUUUUAACCACUUAUUAUAAUAAUAAUAAUAAUAAUAAUAAUAAUAAUAAUAAUAAUAAAUACAAAGUUCGUACCUUUCCUUGCUCCACGAUUUCGGCUUGCAAAAAUCGUGACUUUUGAACUAACUUUCUAAUACACUUCAUCAGUUCUGUACACGAAUCCAAAAUUUUCCCGUUUACCUCCAAUUUUAAUCCUGAGUCCGCAGCUCGCGAUUUUUCCAACAUAUCCUGAUUAAAUGUUACGAAAUAUGUUACCAUACAAAACAGUGUUUUAAUUAACACGGCAAAGCACAAUAUACCUGUAUUCUGUUGGCAGCUUCUUCUAUUGCUUUAUCCAUGCUUAAAAGUUCCUUUUCCACUAAACUGCCUAUUACUUCAACGUUCCCCUGGCCACUAGACAGCGUGGCAGCGAGUUCACAUAUUUUCUUAAAUUGUUGUCUUACGUCAUUAAUUUGGCCAACAGUCAUCGGUGAUUUUUCUUUUAUGUAACUAAACAUAGUUAAAGAUUGUACUCCUAAUUGUUUACAUUCAUCAGUCAAUUCUAAAAUAAGAUGUAAUGUAGAAUAAGAAAUGCUAUAUUAGCCGAAUUUUAUUUAACCCUUUGAGUGUUGAAUAUUCGCAGCCGAAACGUUCCGUGUGAACAGGAUAUUAUUUUGCUUAGCUUAUCGUCUGAAGAUCGAUGCAGUAUGUUAAUUCAUACAAGGCAUAAUUAAGUUUUAAUUGUUAUUCUUCAGUUUCGUCAAAUAAAACAUAAAUAAAAAACACGUAUAUUCAUUUGAUACACUUGCAAUUGUUACCGGGACACGUGUGAGAUUGAAAAGAUCGAACAACGCAUAUAUGCGUGUAUAGUCCACAGCGAUGACUUUCACCGGACAUAUAUACACGUCAAUAGCACUCAAAGAGUUAACUUUAAACACUAUUCUAACUUACUAUCGCCCAAUGCGAUAUCGAUAGAAGUAUUCGAUGUAGAUUUUGCAUGAAUCAAGUAGAGUCCCAAAAUAUAGGCAACAUGUAUUGCACUUUUAAUGAGCAUUUUUCCUUUCGUUGUAUCGCAUACAUAACCAGUAUACGUUGCAUCUAAUACAUCUAACGAUUUUACUGUCGAUUCCUCUAACCGUUCAAGGUACUGAGGUGUGCAAGUUAAAUCAGACAUUGCUGGAUUGUCUAUAGCACUCAACGAAUAUUGUAUUAUAUCUUCUGCUUCAGAUAUACAAUUUACUGAAACAAACGUGUAAUAUUACGCAUACAACCCUAAUUUAUUUAUCAGCACAUUGCUAAAGAAUAAUUAAGAAUACUUACACAAUAACUCAUACAGCAUAGUAUCAGCACGUACAUUCAUUUCAUUGCGGCAUCGCUCAGUCUCAACUUCUAGUUUUUCAAUCUUUAAAUCUAACUCUUCUUUCUGUGCUAAUAAAUCAUGCAGGUCGCCUUCUAAAGCCGUUUUUUCAGAAGUUAUAAAAUGAUUUUUGGCAAUCAACGCCUAAAAUAUUACAUUUUUACCGGAACGAAAUAAAAGAAUAGUAACGUAAGCUUUGAAUCAAAAGAAAGCUAUUAACCAAGUUUUCAGCUUUCGUGGUAUCCAGUUGUUGUUUCAUGUCGUCCAAAUCCUGUUGCGCUUCGACGAUCUUUUGCCCUUCUUGUUCAUUUAUGGCUGGGGCCUGCACCAGCUCAUCGAGUCUACGUUCUACCUCGAUUCGUCGUCGUUGUGCUUCCUCUUGCGACAUUUUCAGUAACCCAAGUUGCUUGUCUACAUCUGCUUUCUGUAAAAUAAAAGAUAAAAUCAUUCAGUAUUAAUGUAGUAUUUUUAAACAUUUCAAGAAAUAAAAUUUUUACUUUUCUAAUUAAACUGAUAUGUUCCUCCCUUAAUUUCGCAUACACAUCUUUCAGCUUUUGGAACUUUUCUUCCAAAGUUUUAUACUUUACUGAAAAAAAGGAAUAAGUAAUAAAUAUAUUACACAUGUAUUUUAAAAUACAAGAUUCUGAAUUCACCAACCUUCACUUUCAUGAACUUUUACCAUCAUGUCUGCCUUUUGCUUCAAAGAAUCUUGAUUAAUUUGUUUCUCUUGUUCUAUCUCGUCACACUAAACAUUUACAGAAAAAACGUAUAUUUACCGUGUUUGUUUAACAUUAUACCAACAAUUGCUUAUAACGUUUCUACCUUGGUAAACAAAUUAGAUUCAAGUUGUGUCACUCGCAUCUGGAGCUUUUCCACAAUUUGCUGAUGCUCGGUCAAUACGCGAUGCAGUUCUUGUCUUUGGCGACUAUUUUCUUGAUGUAAAUGAUCGAUAAGACUUUCUCUAAAAUUCAAAUGAGUAAUGAUAAUAUUUCUUCAUUGCAAAGACAAAUAAUAAAAUAAUGUUUAAAUUUCAAAUAUGCCUCGAUUUACCUUUCUGCUAUUGUGUCCGGAGAAAUUGAACCAUUUCGUGUUGAAUCCAGUUGAUCGCCGGGUAACGAACUCGUGUCAGAUGUAUCAAUUAGACUAUCCACAACUGUUUCGCUAUCCAAAGACUCUUCUGGUGGCAAAACGACUCUCGGUGUGACGUAUGUCCGUAGUUCUGAUUGUAUUAAAAAGUUUGGUGGAUUCUAGAACAAUAAAAUUAAAUGUAAUUUAAAUUUUAAUGAAAACUCGCUAUUCUCGAAUUUUAUAAGUCCACGGUGUUUACCGGAACGAUCAAUUAUUUGGAUAAAACGGCACACUUACCUCUGGUAACGAAGGUAUAGUUAUAAGUGACUUAAAAUACUGCCUUUGUUUCACUGUAUUAUAAAAUUUCUUCAGUUCAUGAAACUGUUUGGAGAAUCGGUCACGAUGACCAGCUAAAGUGUCAGCUGGCAAAGCGUUAUGUAGUUUGAAUAAAAUUUUCACGCAAUAAUCAUAGAGCUGCGAUGCAUCUAAGACGCAUGGUAUUAAUGGUGCUAGUCGACACUGUCCGCUAACGGUCAUGGAAUUCGAAGGUGUAUUCAUCAACGAAGUGGUAACUGAAACCAAAACUACGAAUUGGUAAAUGUGUACUCUGGCACAACAAAAGGAUCACUGAGAAACUAUCAAGCAAAAUGAAAAGAACACUUUUCAGUUCAUUGAAGUUUUAAGUUGGAGCUAUAUAACAAGAUUUAGCGCAUACCCACCUGCGCGUUGUAAAUUUAAAAUAUCAUCCAUAUAGUCGAACAUUUCAACUGACAUUUGAAAACUGAAAAAGAAAAAAAAUCGUACCACAGAAUUGGAUAAAAUUCAGUUCUGAAGAGUGGUCUAUCAUCGAAGCGGUUUUGUAUUUUCUCUAACGAACUUACUAUACAUUGAUGUCAUUUUCUCCGAUAGCUUCCAAUUCCUCCGCCGUUACUUGAAGAUUCCCCGGUAUCCGUGGAUUUCUCUUGUGAAAGUCUAAUUUCGUUAUCAACAGUCUUAUAUAUAACUGAAUCAACUGGCCGUAACCUUCUCGAAGGUGUUGCCAUAGUUUCCCAAUGUCCUCUAGUUUCGCCCGGUACCGCUGAGAGUCUGGAAUCACUUUUGGGUGACCUUCCCGCAGUAUUUUGUGUAAAACAUGACAAAAUUUCCACGCGACUAUUUGAUUCUCUUGUAGAGGCUGCCUUAACAUGUACAUCCAAAAGAUCAUUCCACUCUUUUCUUGAUAUGUACCAAUAAUCGCGCCUAUGUUUCUAUAAGGUAUAAUACAGUGUAAUCGAAAAAAUCAAUUUGUAUAUAAUUCAAAAUAAUAAAUGACUUGUAACAUAUAACAAAUAAACGAAUGUCCAUUCAUUUACU